ensembl:ribozyme RNaseP_nuc Nuclear RNase P
GGUGGGAGGAAGCUCACUGUAGAGGUCACAUGCAGAGUGUCCAAUCACUCGAUGGCCCUCCUCGGGGAAGGUCUGAGACAAGAGCCAAUCGCUGCCCUUGCAGGGCAUCACCUGAUCCGGGUGAGUGAGGUCCCAGAAAUUCUGGUCCAAGUGUUGCUAUGAGCAGGAGAAGCGCGAUCGUCAAAAAUGAAACUGACGUGCGUGGAUGCAGCGACACUGGGAUUGGAAAAGCUCACGGCUGGCAAUUCUGAGUUCAAUGUGUGAGGUGAGGCACGUGAGUCUCACAACCUAAUUCAGACUACUCUCCUUCCACC